GUACACUAUCAGAAAUGUAGCGAACUUCAGUUCAUUUCGAAAUUAACAAGAAAUGUAUAAUAAAUCCUAAAUGGAGUGCUGGUACGUAUUCCGAACAAAGCUAGCAGAUCUUAUCGCUAUGCAAACAAGAAAGAAUGAAAAUGACUCAGUAAAAAUAUCAUAGAAAGAAA